rnacentral:rRNA from 1 species
AUUGAACGCUGGCGGCAUGCCUUACACAUGCAAGUCGAACGGCAGCACGGGUGCUUGCACCUGGUGGCGAGUGGCGAACGGGUGAGUAAUAUAUCGGAACGUACCUUAUUGUGGGGGAUAACGCAGCGAAAGCUGUGCUAAUACCGCAUCAUACCUAAGGGGGAAAGCGGGGGACCGUAAGGCCUCGCGCAAUUAGAGCGGCCGAUACCUGAUUAGCUAGUUGGUUAGGUAAAGGCUCACAAAGGCAACGAGAAGUAGCUGGUCUGAGAGGACGAUCAGCCACACUGGGACUGAGACACGGCCCAGACUCCUACGGGAGGCAGCAGUGGGGAAUUUUGGACAAUGGGGGCAACCCUGAUCCAGCAAUGCCGCGUGAGUGAAGAAGGCCUUCGGGUUGUAAAGCUCUUUUGUCAGGGAAGAAACAGCAGCUCUAACACAGUAUGCGAAUGACGGUACCUGAAGAAUAAGCACCGGCUAACUACGUGCCAGCAGCCGCCGUAA